GGGGAAUUUUGGACAAUGGGCGCAAGCCUGAUCCAGCCAUGCCGCGUGUCUGAAGAAGGCCUUCGGGUUGUAAAGGACUUUUGUCAGGGAAGAAAAGGCUGUUGCUAAUAUCAGCGGCUGAUGACGGUACCUGAAGAAUAAGCACCGGCUAACUACGUGCCAGCAGCCGCGGUAAUACGUAGGGUGCGAGCGUUAAUCGGAAUUACUGGGCGUAAAGCGAGCGCAGACGGUUACUUAAGCAGGAUGUGAAAUCCCCGGGCUCAACCUGGGAACUGCGUUCUGAACUGGGUGACUAGAGUGUGUCAGAGGGAGGUAGAAUUCCACGUGUAGCAGUGAAAUGCGUAGAGAUGUGGAGGAAUACCGAUGGCGAAGGCAGCCUCCUGGGAUAACACUGACGUUCAUGCUCGAAAGCGUGGGUAGCAAACAGGAUUAGAUACCCUGGUAGUCCACGCCCUAAACGAUGUCAAUUAGCUGUUGGGCAACUUGAUUGUUCAGUAGCGUAGCUAACGCGUGAAAUUGACCGCCUGGGGAGUACGGUCGCAAGAUUA
rnacentral:rRNA from 1 species